rnacentral:rRNA from 1 species
CACAGAGGUCUCAAGCGUUGUUCGGAUUCAUUGGGCGUAAAGGGUGCGUAGGCGGCGCGGUAAGUCGGGUGUGAAAUCUUGGAGCUUAACUCCGAAACUGCAUUCGAUACUGCCGUGCUUGAGGACUGGAGAGGAGACUGGAAUUUACGGUGUAGCGGUGAAAUGCGUAGAUAUCGUAAGGAAGACCAGUGGCGAAGGCGGGUCUCUGGACAGUUCCUGACGCUGAGGCACGAAGGCCAGGGGAGCAAACGGG